rnacentral:rRNA from 1 species
UACGAAGGGUGCAAGCGUUACUCGGAAUUACUGGGCGUAAAGCGUGCGUAGGCGGUUUGUUAAGUCCGUUGUGAAAGCCCCGGGCUCAACCUGGGAAUGGCAAUGGAAACUGGCGGGCUGGAGUAUGGCAGAGGGGGGUGGAAUUCCGCGUGUAGCAGUGAAAUGCGUAGAGAUGCGGAGGAACACCGAUGGCGAAGGCAGCCCCCUGGGCCAAUACUGACGCUCAGGCACGAAAGCGUGGGGAGCAAACAGG